CUUUGUGUAUAUAUCUUCCUGGUUUGAAAUGAUUACCUGCUCUACCUGAUAUAAACACAGGUUUGUUCUAUUUACAAAAAUAAACUUCUCAAAGAUAGUAAAUCCAUGGAAAAAAUGGAAGACAAUGACAACAAGAAAACGCAUAUGGUAUCUGCCCGACGGUUAACAAUCACAGAAGGAAAGGAUAAAAGAAUAUGAUAAUUUCUGUUCAACAUCUGAGCAGAAGAGGAUUGGCAGAGUCCGUAUGUUUGUGCAGAUACCGUAGGAUCAUAUACAAGAAACCACCGAGAAAGAGUUGAACUACUUGAAUUAGGUUGGAACUGGUUUGGUUGGAGAGCGUUUACAUCAGCUUGGAUUCCGGACUUUUGAUGGAUAGAUCCAUCACAAGGCAUGCUGCCUUUGGCGGAAAAAAGCACAUAUAUCGUAACCUAUACUGUCAAUUGUUUACAUCGGAAUCUACAAAUAUUAAAGAAGGUGAGCAAUGUUUUAAAGAUAAGUUACGAGCUUGUAACUAUUUUGUUUUGCAAUGGAAGUCAUAUCAUAACUGUAUAAGUGAAUCUGCAAAGAAUUGAAAAGGCGUCAGCAGAAAAGAUAAAUACAUAUCAAAGCCUUCAAGACUGUUGAAUGUGACAAGAUUCAAAUGAUGCCAUGUUAGCGAUGUUCAAAAGAUUUAAUUCAUUGUAUAAAAACAGCAAUACAAGCGCUUAUUGUGUGUUUUUGUUCUGCAUGUGCUGAGUUUACGUCAUGGAUGGA